GAGGGAGCUUAGAACACAGCGUUAAAGGUGGGGAGCAUGGCUCCGAUAAAUCCAGCCCCAUAAAACAUCAAAUCCUACAUGCCAACUCACAAAGCCAAAGUUCAAGGACACAUAAUACCUACCACAAACCUGAGAAGGGCCGGCAGCCUUGAAUAAAGCGGGCUUACCAACCUGGGAUGGAAGGGCGGUCCAGUCAGGAUCAGCGCCAAUCACGUGAGCCGCCAAACUCACAGAAGGAAAAUUAGAAACAAGAGGAUCCUUAGGAAAGAGAUUCAAUCUCAAUAGUAAUCAAAGAGAUGCAAAUUAAAACAGCCAUUGCCAAGGGUGAGAGAACUCGAGCGCGUUGAGGCGCUGGAACUCACUGGUGUGAUCUUCUCGGAGGACAAUUUGGCAAUACACACAAAAGGUUCAAAAUGCGCGAGUGCUAUUUCUAGGAACCAUCCCUGGAAGAUAAUCAGAGAUGCGCAGACAGAAGUUCCAAUAUGAGUCCAUUGUAUCUGUGUGUAUAAUCAGCCCCAAAACUGGCAGUUACCUCCACGUUCCGCAUCGGGGCCUCGCCUCGCUUGAGUCUGCCGUGAAGCGCUCAGUAGACUCCAGCUGAUGCUGGUGCCUGCCUCCGAUCCUCCAGAAUGAUGAGUUGGGUAAACACUUUUUCUUUAUGAUACACUCGGCCACCGGUGUUUUACAAUAGCAAUAGGAAAGUGGGCGAAUGUAUUGUGUUAUGACUGAGUUUUAAUUUCCCCUUCUCUCCUUUGCUAUUUUGUCAACUUUCCGCAUCGAGAACCCGAUCGGCAUGACAGCUAGAAAGUAAUAAUUAAUAAUUAAUAUUUUAAAAAGAAAUAUAUGUGAAGAGUCACC